rnacentral:rRNA from 1 species
ACCCGCUGAACUUAAGCAUAUCAAUAAGCGGAGGAAAAGAAACCAACAGGGAUUGCCCUAGUAACGGCGAGUGAAGCGGCAACAGCUCAAAUUUGAAAUCUGGCUCUUUUAGAGUCCGAGUUGUAAUUUGCAGAGGGCGCUUUGGCUUUGGCAGCGGUCCAAGUUCCUUGGAACAGGACGUCACAGAGGGUGAGAAUCCCGUACGUGGUCGCUGGCUAUUGCCGUGUAAAGCCCCUUCGACGAGUCGAGUUGUUUGGGAAUGCAGCUCUAAGUGGGAGGUACAUUUCUUCUAAAGCUAAAUAUUGGCCAGAGACCGAUAGCGCACAAGUAGAGUGAUCGAAAGAUGAAAAGCACUUUGGAAAGAGAGUCAAACAGCACGUGAAAUUGUUGAAAGGGAAGCGCUUGCAGCCAGACUUGCUUGCAGUUGCUCAUCCGGGCUUUUGCCCGGUGCACUCUUCUGUAGGCAGGCCAGCAUCAGUUUGGGCGGUAGGAUAAAGGUCUCUGUCACGUACCUCUCUUCGGGGAGGCCUUAUAGGGGAGACGACAUACUACCAGCCUGGACUGAGGUCCGCGCAUCUGCUAGGAUGCUGGCGUAAUGGCUGU